UAGUUGAAUUUCGGGAUCAAUAUUUCGGUCAUGCCGUUGGUAUGCACUGUUAUCAUUGAUUUCUCACCUUCUAAAGAACCGUGAUGCCAUUAAUUUGGUGUUACGGGGAAUUAGGACUGUUACCUUGAAAAAAUUAGAGUGUUUAAAGCAGGCUCACGCUUGAAUACAUUAGCAUGGAAUAAUGAAAUAGGACAUCCGAUUCUAUUUUGUUGGUUUCUAGGAUCGAUGUAAUGAUUAAUAGGGAUAGUUGGGGGCAUUAGUAUUCAAUUGUCAGAGGUGAAAUUCUUGGAUUUAUUGAAGACUAACUACUGCGAAAGCAUUUGCCAAGGAUGUUUUCAUUAAUCAAGAACGAAAGUUAGGGGAUCGAAGACGAUCAGAUACCGUCGUAGUC
rnacentral:rRNA from 1 species